rnacentral:snRNA from 1 species
GUGGCUAGAGCUUCUUAAGAGAUACAAGCAACAAUACAGAGAAGAUUAGCAUGGCCCGUGUGCAAGGAUGACACGCAAAUUUGUGAAGCGUUCCAUAUUUUU